AAUAACCCCACAUUUAGCUGCUUAAAUAAAUGACACAUAUUUAUUAUCUCACUGUUCCCAGGCACCAGGGCUCCAGGCCAGCCUGCGUGCUGAAAGCAGAGUCUCUUUUGGGGCUACCGUGGCAUGUCCCUCGCUUCUGAGAAGGCUUCCUCCCCAGGCUGUUGUAGAUGCCGCAGUCUCGCGCUCACUGCUGUCCAGAUGGGCCAAAGAUGACAACCGUCCUGGCUCGGGGGUUCUCAGCAGAUAUCCUAGAGAGAAAUCAUUUCUGAAGUCUGACACCACUUCUUUCCAUCCCACCCGAGAAACCAGCAUGAUUCUUGACUAGGAGGACGAUGGAUGAGAAGAGGGAGUUCAUGUUUGCAGUUGGAACACAAAUGAAAACACACAUGCACAUGGACAUAAAAAGUACGGUUGUAGCUCAGUGGUAGAGCACUUGCCUCACACAUGUGAGUUCCUGGGUGAAAUGAAAAGAAAAAUAUGGUUGGGUUUUGUUAAGAAAUACAACUAAAAUUGUGGAUUGUGUUCGGGGUCGUGCAUUUGUGUGGCGCCUUCAAGCGCUCAGUUAAGAUCUUCAGAGUCACAGUGAAUCCUCUUAUAGGUUACUACAGAGAUGCUGGGCUAGUUCUAUUGGGUUCUGCAGGUUUUUCAUUUUUAGGGAGUGGCUUAGCUACUAAAAAAACCAUAAAAAUUGUUUUCCAAUGGACUCAUGUACAGGUAAUUUUAUUUUUCAAUUUAAAAUACAGUUAUAUUACUUGUGAUUAAAAUUAAAUUUAUAAGAAAAGUUC
rnacentral:lncRNA from 1 species